CCAAUAGCGUAUAUUAAAGUUGUUGCAGUUAAAAAGCUCGUAGUUGAAUGUCGGGGUCUGUCCAUUGGUCGGGCUUUAUUGUCCGUACUGGUGUGAUGGGUUCCUACCUUCUGAAUAACCAGCAUGCCAUUAAUUUGGUGCGUCGGGGAAGCAGAGCUAUUACCUUGAAAAAAUUAGAGUGCUUAAAGCAGGCUAGUGCUUGAAUAGAUUAGCAUGGAAUAAUAAAAUAGGACGGAAUGGUUCUAUUUUGUUGGUUUCUAGGAUCACCGUAAGUAUUAAUAGGGAUAGUUGGGGGCAUUAGUAUUCAAUGGUCAGAGGUGAAAUUCUUGGAUUUAUUGAAGACUAACUUCUGCGAAAGCAUUUGCCAAGGAUGUUUUCAUUAAUCAAGAACGAAAGUUAGGGGAUCGAAGACGAUCAGAUACCGUCGUAGUCUUAACCAUAAACUAUGCCGACUAGGGAUCGGACGAUGUUAAUUUUUUAAUGACUCGUUCGGCGCCUUACG
rnacentral:rRNA from 1 species